GAAGAAGAAGAAGAUGGUGUCUCUUGCGAAGGCAUCCAAAAUGAAGAAUGCAAUGCAAUAUUAAAAUAUCCCGGAAAUAACUUGAACCAAAAUGUAACUGCUACUAUGGAUGUGAAUACCGAAGAAAAACAUUUUGAAUGUGAA
rnacentral:lncRNA from 1 species